CGGGGUCCCUGGGUGCAGAGCCUGCUGCCCACAGCGCCAGUCGGCUGAGGGUCCUUUCACUCCAUCCAGACAGAAAUCACAAAAGGACAAAGAGCUCUGCCAGCAGCCCUGGGCCAUGAGCACUAUGGCCCCAGGCCUCAGCAUGGCAGCUCUGAGCCCUGAUGCCACCGGCUGAUGCGUUUGUGCCAGACACAGCUCCUCCUGCCUCAGCCUACUUGUGGAGACCAGACCAAAGUGAGAGCUGUCCUCCGGAUGCUAAGCAGAGACCCAGGCUCCAAAACAAAACAGGAUGAGGCCCGACCUGCCUCACCUGACCUGUGGCAGGAGCUGUUGCGCUGGCCUCAGUGCUCAUGAGGAACCAGAGCUGACCUCGGUGAGUGUCCCCCCGCCCAGGCCCCAAGUCCC
rnacentral:lncRNA from 1 species